rnacentral:rRNA from 1 species
CGGANACUGGGCGUAAGGGCAUGUAGGCGGAUAAUUAAGUUAGGUGUGAAAGCCCUGGGCUCAACCUAGGAAUUGCACUUAAAACUGGUUAACUAGAGUAUUGUAGAGGAAGGUAGAAUUCCACGUGUAGCGGUGAAAUGCGUAGAGAUGUGGAGGAAUACCGGUGGCGAAGGCGGCCUUCUGGACAGAUACUGACGCUGAGAUGCGAAAGCGUGGGGAGCAAACAGGAUUAGAUACCCUUGGGUAGUCCA